GACGAACGCUGGCGGCGUGCUUAACACAUGCAAGUCGAACGGAAAGGCCCUGCUUGCAGGGUGCUCGAGUGGCGAACGGGUGAGUAACACGUGGGUGAUCUGCCCCUUACUUUGGGAUAAGCCUGGGAAACUGGGUCUAAUACUGGAUAGGACCAUGCUGUAGGUGGUGUGGUGGAAAGAUUAGUUUCGGUAAGGGAUGAGCUCGCGGCCUAUCAGCUUGUUGGUGGGGUAAUGGCCUACCAAGGCGUCGACGGGUAGCCGGCCUGAGAGGGUGGACGGCCACAUUGGGACUGAGAUACGGCCCAGACUCCUACGGGAGGCAGCAGUGGGGAAUAUUGCACAAUGGGCGCAAGCCUGAUGCAGCGACGCCGCGUGGGGGAUGACGGCCUUCGGGUUGUAAACUCCUUUCAGCCAUGACGAAGCCCUUGUGGUGACGGUAGUGGUAGAAGAAGCACCGGCUAACUACGUGCCAGCAGCCGCGGUAAUACGUAGGGUGCGAGCGUUGUCCGGAAUUACUGGGCGUAAAGAGCUCGUAGGUGGUCUGUCGCGUCAUUUGUGAAAGCCCGGGGCUUAACUCCGGGUUGGCAGGUGAUACGGGCAUGACUGGAGUACGGUAGGGGAGACUGGAAUUCCUGGUGUAGCGGUGAAAUGCGCAGAUAUCAGGAGGAACACCGGUGGCGAAGGCGGGUCUCUGGGCAGUAACUGACGCUGGGGAGCGAAAGCAUGGGUAGCGAACAGG
rnacentral:rRNA from 1 species